rnacentral:rRNA from 1 species
ACGAACGCUGGCGGCAUGCCUAAGACAUGCAAGUCGAACGAGAUGGUCUUUUGAAAGAGGAGUGCUUGCACAAUUCUCGAUAUAGAUUCAUCUAGUGGCGCACGGGUGAGUAACACGUAGGUAACCUACCUUUUAGAUUGGGAUAACAGUGCGAAAGUGCUGCUAAUACCGGAUAUUUUCACGAAGUCGCAUGACUUUGUGCAGAAAGUUUUUCGCUUCCGGAUGAGCCCGCGUCCCAUUAGCUAGUUGGUGAGGUAACGGCUCACAAAGGCGACGAUGGGUAGCUG